GGUUUCGUGGUGUAGUUGGUUAUCACGUCAGUCUAACACACUGAAGGUCUCCGGUUCAAGUCCGGCGAAGCCA
rfam:Ipomoea nil DNA, scaffold: scaffold2088, cultivar: Tokyo-kokei standard.